GACGAACGCUGGCGGCGGGCUUAACACAUGCAAGUCGAACGGAAAGGCCCUGCGUGCGUGGGCUGCUCGAGGGGGGAACGGGGGCGGAACACGUGAGUAACCGGCCCUUGACUUUGGUAUAAGUUCAGGAAACUGGAGCUAAGACCGGAUAGCAUCUCCUGCUGCAGGGAGGGGGGUGGAAAGUCUCGGCGGUUGGGGCUGGACGCGCGGCUGAUGGGCUUGUUGGUUGGGUAGUGGCUUCCCAAGGCUUGGACGGGUCGCCGGCCUGAGAGGGUGAACGGCCACCUUGGGCCUGCGAGACGGACCAGAGUGCUAUGGGAGGCAGUAGUGGGGAAUAUUGUCCAGUGGGCGGACGCGUGAUGAAGCGGCGUCGCGUGCGGGAUGCCGGCUUUCGGGGUGUGAACCGCUUUCGGCUGUGACGAAGCGUUAGUGACGGUAAUGGGUAAAGAAGCACCGGCUAACUACGUG
rnacentral:rRNA from 1 species